GAGGCGAACCGGGGGAACUGAAACAUCUAAGUACCCCGAGGAAAAGAAAUCAACCGAGAUUCCGAAAGUAGCGGCGAGCGAAAUUGGACUAGCCCUUAAGCUUUACACGCGUUAGACGAACGGUCUGGAAAGUCCGACGAUACAGGGUGAUAGUCCCGUAGUUGACGACGUGUGUUCAGUGAAAUCGAGUAGGGCGGGACACGUGAUAUCCUGUCUGAAUAUGGGGGGACCAUCCUCCAAGGCUAAAUACUACUGACUGACCGAUAGUGAACCAGUACCGU
rnacentral:rRNA from 1 species